rnacentral:tRNA from 1 species
ACGCGAAAACGCUUAACGGUAGAGCACGCUUUUGAUAAGGGCGUGGUUUCUGGUUCGAUUCCAGGGUGGCCUA